rnacentral:rRNA from 1 species
UAGGUUGAGGAGGCGGUGACCGUGGCGGUGGAGGAGGAGGAUGAGGUCGCCAACACUGUUUAUAUAUAUAUAUAUAUAUAUAUAUAUAAAUAUAUUUUAAUUGAGGUAGCCCCCAAAAUAUUGGGACAUAUAAAAAAAGACAACUCUGUUCCGCAGAGUAGCUGUUGACAUUAUAGUUGCGCAGGCACUUUGUUGACUCUAGAGAACCUCGGGCCAAUCGCACAUCCCCGUGGCGGCAACUUUGCAUGCGGAUGUCAUCCAUAUCAACUUUCGAUGCCGGUUUCUGCACCUACCAUGGUGACCAGGGGUAACGGGGAAUCAGGGUUCCAUUCUGUAUAAGGACCCUGAGAAACAGCUACCACAUGCAAGGAAGGCAGCAGGCGAGCAAAUGACCCACUCCCAACGCGGGAAGGUAGUGACGACAAAUAACAAUACAGAACUCUUUAGAGGCCCUCUAAUUGUAAUGAGUCCACUUGAAAUCCUUUAACUCUGAUCAAUUGGAGGGAAGUCUGGUGCAGAGCCACUGACCCGUGCGUGCUGCAGCUGAAACUCCACU